rnacentral:rRNA from 1 species
AGCGAACGCUGGCGGCAGGCCUAACACAUGCAAGUCGAACGGAUCCUUCGGGAUUAGUGGCGGACGGGUGAGUAACACGUGGGAACGUGCCCUUUGGUUCGGAACAACUCAGGGAAACUUGAGCUAAUACCGGAUGUGCCCUUCGGGGGAAAGAUUUAUCGCCAUUGGAGCGGCCCGCGUCUGAUUAGCUAGUUGGUGAGGUAACGGCCCACCAAGGCGACGAUCAGUAGCUGGUCUGAGAGGAUGAUCAGCCACACUGGGACUGAGACACGGCCCAGACUCCUACGGGAUGCAGCAGUGGGGAAUCUUGCGCAAUGGGCGAAAGCCUGACGCAGCCAUGCCGCGUGAAUGAUGAAGGUCUUAGGAUUGUAAAAUUCUUUCAGCGGGGACGAUAAUGACGGUACCCGCAGAAGAAGCACCGGCUAACUUCGUG